rnacentral:rRNA from 1 species
CCUACGGGAGGCAGCAGUAGGGAAUCUUUCACAAUGGGCGAAAGCCUGAUGGAGCAAAGCCGCGUGCAGGAUGACGGCCUUCGGGGUGUUAACUGCUUUUAUAAACGAGACAAAUCAUGGUAACUUAUGAAUAAGGAUCGGCUAACUACGUGCCAGCAGCCGCGGUCAUACGUCCGAUCCGAGCAUUAUCAGGAGUGACUAGGUGGAAAGAGUGGCGUAGAUGGCAUAAUAAGUAGCUAGUGAAAUCUGGUGGCUCAACCAUUCAGACUAUUAGCUAAACUGUUAAGCUCGAGACCGUUAGGAGUAACUGGAAUGUCUAGUGUAGGAGUGAAAUCCGUAGAUAUUAGAAGGAACACCAAUAGCGUAGGCAGGUUACUGGGACGGUUCUGACACUAAGGCACGAAAGCGUAGGGAGCAAACGGGAUUAGAUACCCUAGUAGUC